rnacentral:rRNA from 1 species
UACAGAGGGGGCAAGCGUUGUUCGGAAUUACUGGGCGUAAAGGGCGCGUAGGCGGCCUGUUAAGUCGAACGUGAAAUCCCCGGGCUCAACCCGGGAACUGCGUCCGAUACUGGCAGGCUUGAAUCCGGGAGAGGGAUGUGGAAUUCCAGGUGUAGCGGUGAAAUUCGUAGAUAUUGGGAAGAACACCGGUGGCGAAGGCGGCGACCUGGUCCAUUACUGACGCUGAGGCGCGACAGCGUGGGGAGCAAACAGG